rnacentral:tRNA from 2 species
ACCUGGCUUGCUCAGUUGGUAGAGUAUGAGAUUCUAGAUCUCAAGAUCAUGAGUUUGAGCCCCAUGUUGGGCA